AUACGGAGGAUGCGAGCGUUAUCCGGAUUUAUUGGGUUUAAAGGGUGCGUAGGCUGUUUGGUAAGUCAGGGGUGAAAUGCCGUCGCUCAACGACGGAGCUGCCCUUGAUACUGCCGAGCUGGAGUACGGAUGCCGUUGGAGGAAUGAGUGGUGUAGCGGUGAAAUGCAUAGAUAUCACUCAGAACACCGAUUGCGAAGGCAUCUGACGAAUCCGUCACUGACGCGAAGGCACGAAGGCGUGGGGAUAGAACAGGAUUAGAUACCCUGGUAUUCCACGCCGUAAACGAUGAUGACUAACCGCCUGCGAUACAAUGUAGGUGGCCAAGCGAAAGCGAUAAGUCAUCCACCUGGGGAGUACGACCGCAAGGUUGAAACUCAAAGGAAUUGACGGGG
rnacentral:rRNA from 1 species